rnacentral:rRNA from 1 species
AACGAACGCUGGCGGCAUGCCUAACACAUGCAAGUCGAACGAUAUCUUCGGGUCUAGUGGCGCACGGGUGCGUAACGCGUGGGAAUCUGCCCUUUGGUUCGGAAUAACAGUUGGAAACGACUGCUAAUACCGGAUGAUGACGAAAGUCCAAAGAUUUAUCGCCAGAGGAUGAGCCCGCAUAGGAUUAGCUAGUUGGUGUGGUAAAGGCGCACCAAGGCGACGAUCCUUAGCUGGUCUGAGAGGAUGAUCAGCCACACUGGGACUGAGACACGGCCCAGACUCCUACGGGAGGCAGCAGUGGGGAAUAUUGGACAAUGGGCGAAAGCCUGAUCCAGCAAUGCCGCGUGAGUGAUGAAGGCCUUAGGGUUGUAAAGCUCUUUUACCCGGGAUGAUAAUGACAGUACCGGGAGAAUAAGCCACGGCUAACUACGUGCCAGCCGCCGCGGUAA